ACUAGUGUGAAGGUUCUCACAUUGUAGUAUUGCUAGAUAUAAUGGAGGAUCCUCUCUCGACAUGGUAUAUGUUCAAAUAUUCUAGAGAAGAGGUUAUAUCUCUCAUGACCACCAUUGUCAUCUGUAAAACAGAGAACGAAUCCAGAUUCCUCAGCUUUGGUAACUUUAAGAAGCUAGAUGGGGGCAGAAGAAGACCGUGUUAUUUCUCGUAGAAAGCAUAAACACCUUACUUCCAAUAACUCUUCAUUGUCUUUGAAGCUUGCAGUCUUCUUACAGCUAUUGCAAUGGGAUUUUGGAAUUUCCACUACAGAAAAGCUAAGUGUUCUUGUCUCUUUAUUAUAAGUCUUCUCCGCUAUCGAAAAUUUUCUCAGCAUCACAUAUAUUUUCACUGACAUCAUUCAUCACACAAACAUACAACAUAGAAAAAAUUUAGAACACAGACAUCUGUCACGAGAAAAUACAAAACAACAAAACCAUAAUCCCAAAAAAAAAAAAAUACAAACACACACACGAAAUUUACCACAAAUGUCACGAAUACAAAAUCAUAAACUCAAACAAAAUGAUACACAAGCAUAACCACACGUACACAGAUAUAUACACGAAACACCAAAACCACAAUCCUAAUCAAAACGUACUCAAUAACAAGUUCAACAAAUUCUGGAUGCAAAAAUUUGGAGUACGAGUCAUGUUUUUCUCUCUUUAGUUUUGUCAUGAUAUGUGGUCUUGGUACGUUUCUUUAACUUGCUGAGAUAAUAUUGCUCUCUCUUGAUAGCUCUCUGUCUGUAUUGUUUUAGAUUCUUAUAGAAGCCGGAUGGGCUGAACAAGAUCGUGUUAUUUGCUUGCAGAAAGCCAGAACACAUAGUUUUCCAAUCUGAUUAAGCAGUUGCUGCGAGAGAGUGGCUUAAGGGAUGCGAGUAAAGCUCAGGAGGAAGUUUUCCCUGUACCAUUCGAUCGUAAGAUCAUAUUUUCUUUUACAUUUAUUCUUUUGUAAAUUUGUCUUUUAUGACAUUUUUCCCUUUGUAAAUUUAGUUGUUCACAUAAUUUGUAUUAUUUGUUUUGCUUUCUUAUCGUUAAUUUAAUAUUAUUUUUCGUUUCUCUA